GAUGAAGAACGCAGCGAAAUGCGAUAAGUAGUGUGAAUUGCAGAAUUCAGUGAAUCAUCGAGUCUUUGAACGCACAUUGCGCCCCCUGGUAUUCCGGGGGGCAUGCCUGUCCGAGCGUCAUUGCUGCCCUCAAGCACGGCUUGUGUGUUGGGCCCCGUCCUCCGAUCCCGGGGGACGGGCCCGAAAGGCAGCGGCGGCACCGCGUCCGGUCCUCGAGCGUAUGGGGCUUUGUCACCCGCUCUGUAGGCCCGGCCGGCGCUUGCCGAUCAACCCAAAUUUUUUAUCCAGGUUGACCUCGGAUCAGGUAGGGAUACCCGCUGAACUUAAGCAUAUCAAUAAGCGAGGA
rnacentral:misc_RNA from 1 species